GGGCCGGUGGUCCAGUUGGUAGAGCACCCGUCUAGUAUAGUAAGGUCCUUGGUUCGACCCCUAGCUAGGCCA